UUCAAGAAGUUAAAGCCAAGAGGAGAAGUGUAGAGCUGUAUGACGUGUAUGGGGGAGGGAGUCCAUCAUUGAGAGAAGUGAGAAGUUCCUGGUUUGUAAGACGAGCAAUAUUAUACGAUCAGACGGUCAAUAUGAAGACAGUAUGUGGCACUGUGGUCUGUUUCAUCUUUCUCAGUGCCAUCUACUGGAAAAUGUUCCCUGAUCUAAAUUUUGUUCCUGAUAAAGCAGCAACAAAAAGAAGAGCUGCAACAUGUGUGUCACAGACACAGGAAGACAUAGUUCACUGCCUGCUACAUUCAGUCCUUUUCAGUUUGCCUACAGGCCAAACCGACCCACAGACAACGCAAUAGUGCUGGCUCUGCACACUGCCCUCUCCCACCUGAACCAUAAGAACACAUAUGUGUGGAAGCUGUUUAUUGACUAGAGCUCCACUUUCAACCCUAUUAUUCCAUCCAGGUUCAUGAUGAAGCUUUGGAAUCUGUGGUUCAUUAUGCGACUGGAUCCUGGACUUCCUGAAAGGCAGACCACAGGUGGUACAAAUCCGUAGUGCUGCAUCAUCUACACCAGGGGUGUCGAACUCCAGGCCUCGAGGGCCGGUGUCCUGCAGGUUUUAGAUAUCACCCUGGGUCAACACACCUGAAUCACAUGAUUAGUUCAUUACCAGGCUUCUGAAGAACUUCAAGACAUGUUGAGGAGGUGAUUUAGCCAUUUGAAUCAGCUGUGUUGAAUCUAAAACCUGCAGGACACCGGCCGUCGAGGCCUGGAGUUCGACACCUGUGAGCUACACUGACGUUCAACACCGAUGCCUCACCAGGGAUGUGUGCUCAGCCCCCUGCUAUACACCUUGUUCACCUACAACUGUGCGGCCACACGCAGCUCAAACGCCAUCAUUUAUAUCGAGGGAAGGUGGAGAGAUGCUUCAAAUUCCUGGGGAUUAAUAUCAGUGAUGAUCUGAGCUGAUCACAUCACGUGUAUGUGAUCACAAAAGCAGCAAGACAGUGGCUCCUCUUUCUGCAGUGGUUUGGCAUGGACCCCGGAAUUCUCACCAACCUCCAUCGAUGCACCAUCAAGAGUGCAUGGGUGUUAAAAUCAUGUGUGUGUGGGGGGGCUUGUUAACAGUCUGAAUGGCCCACAGGAAGAAGGUGUUUGUGAGUGUGGUGGUGUGGGACCUGAUUGACCUGAGCAGAUGGUGGGUGGGCAUCAAGGGGUCACCUGUGAUGGCCCUGGUUUUCGUGAGACAGGAGGAGCUGGCAUGGCCUCCAGGGGUGGCAGAUGAAAGUUGUUUCUCAGUUAUGGCCCUUAUGUAGAGCACGCCCUCCAGACGAGCGUUACAAGGCCAGCAGCAGUUUCUCGUCCAGGGUUGUUCUUCCUCAGGACACAAAGAAAGUGCAGCCACUGUUGGGCCUUCUUCACCUGAACGCUGGUGUUGUGGGUCGAGGUGAGAUCAGUGGAAAUGUGGGUUUCCAGAAAGGGGGAGACAGAUUCCCCCCGUUCAACAUUUAUAAUCAAAGGGAGUGGACCUGUCUGUGCCUCCUGAAGUCCAUUAUGAGUUCUUUUGUUUUAAGGAUGUUCAGCUUCAGGUUAUUUUCUGAACCUCAGCAGGAAUUAUUCUCUACCUCCACCCUGUAUGCUGUCUCAUCUCCAUUAGAGAUGAGCCUAUUCACGGUGGUGUCAUCGGCAUACUUGAAGAUGAUGUUCAUUCAGUGGAUUGAUGCACAAUUAUGUGUGUACAUGGAGUAAAUUAGGUGGCUGAGAAUACAGCCCUGUGGAGACUUGAUGCUGAGUGACAGUUGGGCGAAGAGUUGGAGGCAGUCUGACUGACUGAGGUCUGUUUGUGAGGAAAUCUUUGAUUGAGGAGCAUUUGGCAAGGGGGACACGAAGGUGGAUCAGUUUGGUGCACUGCACGAUGGAAACACUGGUCAGGUCAAAAAAGGAAUUCCCACCUAUAGAGGAAUGGAAGGAGAAAACAUCAGAGUUGAAUGCAAAUUUUCUUACUCUGGAACCAAGAAGUUCUUCUGUAAGGGAAAAUGUGAAAAAGAAAACAUCCUAAUAGCAACAACAAAGAACUCCGCUAAAAAUGGCAGAUACAGCAUUCAGUAUGUAGAAAAAGGUUUUCUGUCAUCUGAUAUUCUGUAUGUGAGCAUCGCACAGCUGAAAAAGUCUGACAUGGGACCAUACAUGUGUUUUUCGAGUAAAACCUGGCUUGGUGAUCUGAGUCAUGAGUUUUAUAUUUUUGUCACAGAAGGCUCAAGAACAAAAACAGAAACAGCAACAACAACAACAAUACCAACAACAGAGAGUUCAGUCUUCAGUUCAGAAUGUGCUGGAGUUUCAUCAGUGUCCCCUGAAACCUCAAAACAGCCCGAGAGAUCGCCUGCAAGUUCAGCUACUGCAGGUAUGCUUCCUUAUGUGGGACUGUUUCUGGCCAUUAUGAUCAUCCUCUUCUCGGCAGCUUUGCUGAUUUUCUGCAAGAACAAGAGGGCCAGUAAACACAAAGGACCUUUGGAAAAUGAAAAUGGUGACAUCACACAGGUGAACCAGCUCUAUGAAGAGAUCAGAGAAAUGGACACUUUGUCUCCCCUGGGUGUGUCCUCAGCUUACACGUACCCCAAAUACUCCCAGUCACAUGGAUUUGAAAACAUAGACCUCCACAGCCUCAGCACCCCUCCUCAGAACAAAGCUCAAGACAACUCAAGUACUCUUCAUUACUCUGAAGUCGAUUUUUCCCACAUUCCUGCCACCAACAGCGCUCCAUCUCGUAAUGCAACUGAUGUUGUUUACUCCACACCUGUGGUACAUACCAGCCCUUCCAACCACACCAAAGAUUCUUCAUCUCCUCUGUACUCAGCAGUUAAAAAACGGUAUUAAUGCUGCCGAUGGCACCUUCCCUCUCACAAAGAUCAACAGGUGAUCGUAAUUCAUAGAAAAUGAGGUUCUUUUCUGCUUAUUUAAGUGAACUGAAUGUUCAAACAAUUAGCCUCAGAUUAAUUUAUUUAAUUAUUUAGUUAUAUCUACUUUAACUUAACAGACAACUAAUUGCAUGCAUACUUUUUGGAAACUGGAGUAUUUUUCAUUAAGAAAUACAGGAAAACCCAACUGACUUGGAACAUCCGUGGCUGUAUGAGAGCAUGCAGUGGUCUCAGGUCAGUCAGCAGGUUGUUCUUGGAGGGACAUCCAUAAAUGGAGUUAGCAAAACGGCUUCUUUCACAUGUAGAAAUUUACAUCAAGCGGUUUCUUUCUUGCCCAAACCUAACAAAACUGAGACUGAAAAGUGAAUAAUGGCAUGAAAAUCUGCACAAAACUCAAAAACAUUCUGUCAGAAAACCCUAAAGACAAGUUCCACUAGUGACAGUUUCCGUUUUCUUUCUGUUGGCAAUGUAAACAAGCAAAGAAAACAAACAAAAAAAACCCCAAAAAACAAGCAAAAAACAAAAAGAUGGGUGAAUUGAUUUAAAAUAUUAUUUUAAUAAAGCUUUUGGGAUUGCACUCUUCUUGCCCGAUUAUCCAGUGUUUUCUAUCAUGCUUGGCUCCCAUAAUCUCUAUAAAACAUGGCGCAGUCUUAUCGUCCAGGCCUGAAAAGUGAAGCUGAUUUGGAAGGUUCAACAAAUCCAGCAAAGCCAAACAUGUCAGACUUUAAUGUGAAGAUGCCUAAAUCCACAGCAGAAAUAAAAUGCAACCUGCCAUAAAAAACAAAUAAAUGACCAAAACACCAAAUUGAAUGAUAGGCGCCUAGCUUUGCUCACAAACCUGCUUGUUUGUGUAAUUUUGUACUGACACAAACACUGAAAGUACUGUGUUAAUUGUUUUUAUAAUCUUAACAAUAUCUCAGUUCUGUGGGUUAUUUAAUUUGCACAAGGAUCUUUAUGUUCUUAUUUUAUUUUGCUUCAUUGUGCUCAACCUGAUUUUUAAAUCUUAAUUAAAAUAAACAUGAACAUCGACAGUUUUAACUGUAUGGUCUUCAUUGUUGGCAAAAUACUUUUAUUAAUAAAGGUAAAUGGACUGGUUCUUAUAUUGCAAUUUUCUACUCUAUUUGAAUGCUCAAAGUGCUUUAUACAACAUGCCUCAUUCACCCAUUCACAGACAUUCAUUUGUUUUUCUACAUCUAAAUGGUUUCCAUCCAACAUUUACACACAUUUAUACGUAUGCAUGUUUCUGCUAUUAAUUCACUGAAAU
ensembl:lncRNA